rnacentral:rRNA from 1 species
UACGGAGGGGACUAGCGUUGUUCGGAAUUACUGGGCGUAAAGCGCACGUAGGCGGAUUUGUAAGUCAGGGGUGAAAUCCCGGGGCUCAACCUCGGAACUGCCUUUGAUACUGCGAAUCUCGAGUCCGGAAGAGGUGAGUGGAACUCCUAGUGUAGAGGUGAAAUUCGUAGAUAUUAGGAAGAACACCAGUGGCGAAGGCGGCUCACUGGCCCGAUACUGACGCUGAGGUGCGAAAAGCGUGGGGGAGCAAACA